GACGAACGCUGGCGGCGUGCCUAAUACAUGCAAGUAGAACGCACAGUUUAUACCGUAGCUUGCUACACCAUAGACUGUGAGUUGCGAACGGGUGAGUAACGCGUAGGUAACCUGCCUGGUAGCGGGGGAUAACUAUUGGAAACGAUAGCUAAUGCCGCAUAAUAUUGAUUAUUGCAUGAUAAUUGAUUGAAAGAUGCUAUUGCAUCACUACCAGAUGGACCUGCGUUGUAUUAGCUAGUAGGUGAGGUAACGGCUCACCUAGGCGACGAUACAUAGCCGACCUGAGAGGGUGAUCGGCCACACUGGGACUGAGACACGGCCCAGACUCCUACGGGAGGCAGCAGUAGGGAAUCUUCGGCAAUGGACGAAAGUCUGACCGAGCAACGCCGCGUGAGUGAAGAAGGUUUUCGGAUCGUAAAGCUCUGUUGUAAGAGAAGAACGGGUGUGAGAGUGGAAAGUUCACACUGUGACGGUAUCUUACCAGAAAGGGACGGCUAACUACGUG
rnacentral:rRNA from 1 species